rnacentral:rRNA from 1 species
UUGAACGCUGGCGGCAGGCCUAACACAUGCAAGUCGAGCGGAUGAAGGGAGCUUGCUCCUGGAUUCAGCGGCGGACGGGUGAGUAAUGCCUAGGAAUCUGCCUGGUAGUGGGGGAUAACGUCCGGAAACGGACGCUAAUACCGCAUACGUCCUGAGGGAGAAAGUGGGGGAUCUUCGGACCUCACGCUAUCAGAUGAGCCUAGGUCGGAUUAGCUAGUUGGUGGGGUAAAGGCCUACCAAGGCGACGAUCCGUAACUGGUCUGAGAGGAUGAUCAGUCACACUGGAACUGAGACACGGUCCAGACUCCUACGGGAGGCAGCAGUGGGGAAUAUUGGACAAUGGGCGAAAGCCUGAUCCAGCCAUGCCGCGUGUGUGAAGAAGGUCUUCGGAUUGUAAAGCACUUUAAGUUGGGAGGAAGGGCAGUAAGUUAAUACCUUGCUGUUUUGACGUUACCAACAGAAUAAGCACCGGCUAACUUCGUG